rnacentral:rRNA from 1 species
UGCCAGCAGCCGCGGUAAUACGGAGGGUGCAAGCGUUGUCCGGAUUUACUGGGUUUAAAGGGUGCGUAGGCGGCCUUUUAAGUCAGUGGUGAAAUCCCGCAGCUUAACUGCGGAACUGCCAUUGAUACUGAAAGGCUUGAGUAUGUUCGAGGUGGGCGGAAUUUAUGGUGUAGCGGUGAAAUGCAUAGAUACCAUAAAGAACACCAAUUGCGUAGGCAGCUCACUAGACCAUAACUGACGCUGAGGCACGAAAGCGUGGGGAGCGAACAGGAUUAGAUA